rnacentral:rRNA from 1 species
AUUGAACGCUGGCGGCAGGCCUAACACAUGCAAGUCGAGCGGAUGAAGGGAGCUUGCUCCUGGAUUCAGCGGCGGACGGGUGAGUAAUGCCUAGGAAUCUGCCUGGUAGUGGGGGAUAACGUCCGGAAACGGGCGCUAAUACCGCACACGUCCUGAGGGAGAAAGUGGGGGAUCUUCGGACCUCACGCUAUCAGAUGAGCCUAGGUCGGAUUAGCUAGUUGGUGGGGUAAAGGCCUACCAAGGCGACGAUCCGUAACUGGUCUGAGAGGAUGAUCAGUCACACUGGAACUGAGACACGGUCCAGACUCCUACGGGAGGCAGCAGUGGGGAAUAUUGGACAAUGGGCGAAAGCCUGAUCCAGCCAUGCCGCGUGUGUGAAGAAGGUCUUCGGAUUGUAAAGCACUUUAAGUUGGGAGGAAGGGCAGUAAGUUAAUACCUUGCCGUUUUGACGUUACCAACAGAAUAAGCACCGGCUAACUUCGUG